AUUUAUCUAAUAUAUAAUGUAUAUUUGACUUCCAAUCAAAAAGACUGAGUAUUUCCUCAGGAUAAAUA
rnacentral:tRNA from 1 species